AAUAUUUGACAAUGGGCGAAAGCCUGAUCCAGCCAUGCCGCGUGUGUGAAGAAGGUCUUCGGAUUGUAAAGCACUUUAAUGUGGGAGGAAGGGUGGUAGGUUAAUACCAUGCACUUUUGAGGUUACUAACAGAAUAAGCACCGUCUAACUUCGUGCCAGCAGCCGCUGUAAUACGAAGGGUGCAAGCGUUAAUCGGAAUCACUGGGCGUAAAGCGGGAGUAGGUGGUUCGUGAAGUUGGAAGUGAAAGCCCCGGGCUUAACCAGGGAAUUGCUUUCAAAACUGACGAGCUAGGGUAAGGUAGAGGGUAGUGGAAUUUCCUGUGUAGCGGUGAAAAGCGUAGAUAUAGGAAGGAACAUCAGUGGCGAAGGCGACUACCUGGACUGAUACUGACACUGAGGUGCGAAAGCGUGGGGAGCAAAC
rnacentral:rRNA from 1 species